UCCGGUUUGUCACCGGCAGUCUCCUUAAAGUGCCCAACUGAAUGAUGGCAACUAAGGACAAGGGUUGCGCUCGUUACGGGACUUAACCCAACAUCUCACGACACGAGCUGACGACAGCCAUGCAGCACCUGUCACUCGGUUCCCGAAGGCACUCCCGCAUCUCUGCAGGAUUCCGAGGAUGUCAAGACCUGGUAAGGUUCUUCGCGUUGCGUCGAAUUAAACCACAUGCUCCACCGCUUGUGCGGGCCCCCGUCAAUUCAUUUGAGUUUUAACCUUGCGGCCGUACUCCCCAGGCGGUCUACUUAGUGCGUUAGCUGCGCCACUAAGGGAUCAAGUCCCCCAACGGCUAGUAGACAUCGUUUACGGCGUGGACUAC
rnacentral:misc_RNA from 1 species